GGUUGCGAUCAUACCAGCACUAAUGCACCGGAUCCCAUCAGAACUCCGCAGUUAAGCGUGCUUGGGCGAGAGUAGUUCUAGGAUGGGUGACCCCUGGGAAGUCCUCGUGUUGCAACCC
rnacentral:rRNA from 1 species